CCUGUUCCUCCGGAAACUCUGGAGAAAACAACGUUACAAAGCAACUGAGUACAAGGUACUCGCAAGACUUACGGGAGAUCUAAACUAGAUAUGCAACAAGUCUCAAAAUGAUGGAUAAUAUGGUGGGAUUGUGCAGCAGCAAUAUAUAUAUCUGGAGAGAUACACUAAUGACAUCGUCUAAUUAGAGGAUAAGAAGCGUGUACCAAGUGAGGUGAUAAUCUAUCAACUAACACCCAUCAAACACAACCUCUUAUCACCCCCUCAACCCUUUGUGAGGAAAUGAUCCAAAGGCACUCACACUUAAGCAGUUUUAAGCAUAUCCAUGAUUAAAGGCUAAUUACUACUCAAGUUUAAGAGAUUAAGUUAAUUAAAUGGUAUGAGUUCUCUAUGAUCAAGUAAUGACCAACCAAGUCGUCCAUGACCGCGGACACGACAUUCCGAAAGAUUUAUCCCUGCAGGGUGUGCCAAUUUACCCGUAUACGUUCGUCCAACCCUUAUUGCCACUCGAGUAGGAACACAUAAAGACGUGUGUCGGCAGGAUUGGGCGACAUGACGUUUCCAAGCCCCACAACUAAUCCAGGGGACCAACCCAACUAAGUCUAAUCCGAAACGAGAGCCCGGCCGAAGCGUCGUAUGGACUCAAGAGUUGCGUGGACAGCUGGUAGUGGUUCAGUGUCCGCAGAAUGACCACUCCAGACUAGUGCCGCAAUCCUAUAUGUAUGCAAGUACCAACAAAUCUCCAACACAACACCAGUAUAUAUGCGAUAUGCCAAAUGAAACGCCCAAACUAUGUGGCCCCUGGAAGAGCUAUGAAACGAGUACUAAGCCAAGGGGGAACCCAUAUAUUCUCCCACGAGCGGUUAGCGCGAAGUUUCUUGGGUCGGCGAAAACGAGAACUCAGUCCUUAGGUCGGCGCCAAUGGAACAAAACACCAAUGCGUUAGCACGGCCUCCCAUCGUUGCCUUCUGCAGGUAAUAACAUGUCACAAAUAAUAAUUGCAAAUAAAUACAGAAAGUAGCAUGUGGAUGUAGCAAUUGUAAAACCCCAAGUAAGGACACUUGACUAGCAAUCUAAGCAGACAGAAAAUGACCAAUUAGGGCAAUAACAAACAUGUGACAUGGUAAUAGGAUAAGAAACAAGACAACAGGCAAUUUGAGUAGAGCUGACUAAAGCUAUACAAUCCUAGAGGUAUCGUGACAAGAACCGAGAACAUAACUUAAUGCAAGAAUGAGAGAGAGGCAUUGGGUAUAAUGAACAUGUUCAAGGAAUGGCUGCUUGCCUGGAUUCUCGGUCGCUGGGCACCGAGAGAGGGGAUUCGAAGAAGUGUGGGAACCCGGAUCGUCGGCGGAGUAAGUCGGAGUCGCUAUCGUAAAGAACCAAAUCACACAAUACGCAAAUAAGUAACCAUUCACAGGUGCAAUGCACAAUACAACAUGAGAUGGCAUGUGACAACACGAUGCAACAAUAUGCAAGUGAAAUGAUUCCAUUUAGCAACAAA
rnacentral:lncRNA from 1 species